rnacentral:ncRNA from 1 species
AAGAGCUGUAUGAGUCGAGAGGCUCACGUAUAGUUCUGUGAGAGCAUAGGGGUGAGAUUCCACUGUGCUACUUGAC